rnacentral:rRNA from 1 species
GUACAUCCAGAGAACUUAGCAGAGAUGCUUUGGUGCCUUCGGGAACUCUGAGACAGGUGCUGCAUGGCUGUCGUCAGCUCGUGUUGUGGAAUGUUGGGUUAAGUCCCGNAACGAGCGCAACCCUUUAUCCUUUGUUGCCAGCGGUUCGGCCGGGAACUCAAAGGAGACUGCCGGUGAUAAACCGGAGGAAGGUGGGGAUGACGUCAAGUCAUCAUGGCCCUUACGGCCAGGGCUACACACGUGCUACAAUGGCGCAUACAAAGAGAAGCGACCUCGCGAGAGCAAGCGGACCUCAUAAAGUGCGUCGUAGUCCGGAUUGGAGUCUGCAACUCGACUCCAUGAAGUCGGAAUCGCUAGUAAUCGUAGAUCAGAAUGCUACGGUGAAUACGUUCCCGGGCCUUGUACACACCGCCCGUCACACCAUGGGAGUGGGUUGCAAAAGAAGUAGGUAGCUUAACCUUCGGGAGGGCGCUUACCACUUUGUGAUUCAUGACUGGGGUGAAGUCGUAACAAGGUAAGCGUAGUGCU